rnacentral:tRNA from 1 species
UUAAUUGAAACCAAAAAGAGGUAUGUCACUGUUAAUGACAAAAUUGAAUCAUUUUCCAAUUAAA